rnacentral:rRNA from 1 species
GAUGAACGCUGGCGGCGUGCCUAAUACAUGCAAGUCGAGCGAACGGACGAGAAGCUUGCUUUUCUGAUGUUAGCGGCGGACGGGUGAGUAACACGUGGAUAACCUACCUAUAAGACUGGGAUAACUUCGGGAAACCGGAGCUAAUACCGGAUAAUAUUUUGAACCGCAUGGUUCAAAAGUGAAAGACGGUCUUGCUGUCACUUAUAGAUGGAUCCGCGCUGCAUUAGCUAGUUGGUAAGGUAACGGCUUACCAAGGCAACGAUGCAUAGCCGACCUGAGAGGGUGAUCGGCCACACUGGAACUGAGACACGGUCCAGACUCCUACGGGAGGCAGCAGUAGGGAAUCUUCCGCAAUGGGCGAAAGCCUGACGGAGCAACGCCGCGUGAGUGAUGAAGGUCUUCGGAUCGUAAAACUCUGUUAUUAGGGAAGAACAUAUGUGUAAGUAACUGUGCACAUCUUGACGGUACCUAAUCAGAAAGCCACGGCUAACUACGUGCCAGCAGCCGCGGUAAUACGUAGGUGGCAAGCGUUAUCCGGAAUUAUUGGGCGUAAAGCGCGCGUAGGCGGUUUUUUAAGUCUGAUGUGAAAGCCCACGGCUCAACCGUGGAGGGUCAUUGGAAACUGGAAAACUUGAGUGCAGAAGAGGAAAGUGGAAUUCCAUGUGUAGCGGUGAAAUGCGCAGAGAUGUGGAGGAACACCAGUGGCGAAGGCGACUUUCUGGUCUGUAACUGACGCUGAUGUGCGAAAGCGUGGGGAUCAAACAGGAUUAGAUACCCUGGUAGUCCACGCCGUAAACGAUGAGUGCUAAGUGUUAGGGGGUUUCCGCCCCUUAGUGCUGCAGCUAACGCAUUAAGCACUCCGCCUGGGGAGUACGACCGCAAGGUUGAAACUCAAAGGAAUUGACGGGGGCCCGCACAAGCGGUGGAGCAUGUGGUUUAAUUCGAAGCAACGCGAAGAACCUUACCAAAUCUUGACAUCCUUUGACAACUCUAGAGAUAGAGCCUUCCCCUUCGGGGGACAAAGUGACAGGUGGUGCAUGGUUGUCGUCAGCUCGUGUCGUGAGAUGUUGGGUUAAGUCCCGCAACGAGCGCAACCCUUAAGCUUAGUUGCCAUCAUUAAGUUGGGCACUCUAAGUUGACUGCCGGUGACAAACCGGAGGAAGGUGGGGAUGACGUCAAAUCAUCAUGCCCCUUAUGAUUUGGGCUACACACGUGCUACAAUGGACAAUACAAAGGGCAGCGAAACCGCGAGGUCAAGCAAAUCCCAUAAAGUUGUUCUCAGUUCGGAUUGUAGUCUGCAACUCGACUACAUGAAGCUGGAAUCGCUAGUAAUCGUAGAUCAGCAUGCUACGGUGAAUCCGUUCCCGGGUCU